UAGGGAAUCUUCGGCAAUGGACGGAAGUCUGACCGAGCAACGCCGCGUGAGUGAAGAAGGUUUUCGGAUCGUAAAGCUCUGUUGUUAGAGAAGAACGCUGGUAGGAGUGGAAAAUCUACCAAGUGACGGUAACUAACCAGAAAGGGACGGCUAACUACGUGCCAGCAGCCGCGGUAAUACGUAGGUCCCGAGCGUUGUCCGGAUUUAUUGGGCGUAAAGCGAGCGCAGGCGGUUCUUUAAGUCUGAAGUUAAAGGCAGUGGCUUAACCAUUGUACGAUUUGGAAACUGGAGGACUUGAGUGCAGAAGGGGAAAGUGGAAUUCCAUGUGUAGCGGUGAAAUGCGUAGAUAUAUGGAGGAACACCGGUGGCGAAAGCGGCUCUCUGGUCUGUAACUGACGCUGAGGCUCGAAAGCGUGGGGAGCAAACAGG
rnacentral:rRNA from 1 species